CAUAGGUUAAUGAGGCGAACCGGGGGAACUGAAACAUCUAAGUACCCCGAGGAAAAGAAAUCAACCGAGAUUCCCCCAGUAGCGGCGAGCGAACGGGGAGGAGCCCAGAGCCUGAAUCAGUGUGUGUGUUAGUGGAAGCGUCUGGAAAGGCGCGCGAUACAGGGUGACAGCCCCGUACACAAAAAUGCACAUAUUGUGAGCUCGAUGAGUAGGGCGGGACACGUGGUAUCCUGUCUGAAUAUGGGGGGACCAUCCUCCAAGGCUAAAUACUCCUGACUGACCGAUAGUGAACCAGUACCGUGAGGGAAAGGCGAAAAGAACCCCGGCGAGGGGAGUGAAAAAGAACCUGAAACCGUGUACGUACAAGCAGUGGGAGCCUCUUAAUGGGGUGACUGCGUACCUUUUGUAUAAUGGGUCAGCGACUUAUAUUCUGUAGCAAGGUUAACCGAAUAGGGGAGCCGAAGGGAAACCGAGUCUUAACUGGGCGUUAAGUUGCAGGGUAUAGACCCGAAACCCGGUGAUCUAGCCAUGGGCAGGUUGAAGGUUGGGUAACACUAACUGGAGGACCGAACCGACUAAUGUUGAAAAAUUAGCGGAUGACUUGUGGCUGGGGGUGAAAGGCCAAUCAAACCGGGAGAUAGCUGGUUCUCCCCGAAAGCUAUUUAGGUAGCGCCUCGUGAAUUCAUCUCCGGGGGUAGAGCACUGUUUCGGCAAGGGGGUCAUCCCGACUUACCAACCCGAUGCAAACUGCGAAUACCGGAGAAUGUUAUCACGGGAGACACACGGCGGGUGCUAACGUCCGUCGUGAAGAGGGAAACAACCCAGACCGCCAGCUAAGGUCCCAAAGUCAUGGUUAAGUGGGAAACGAUGUGGGAAGGCCCAGACAGCCAGGAUGUUGGCUUAGAAGCAGCCAUCAUUUAAAGAAAGCGUAAUAGCUCACUGGUCGAGUCGGCCUGCGCGGAAGAUGUAACGGGGCUAAACCAUGCACCGAAGCUGCGGCAGCGACACUAUGUGUUGUUGGGUAGGGGAGCGUUCUGUAAGCCUGUGAAGGUGGCCUGUGAGGGUUGCUGGAGGUAUCAGAAGUGCGAAUGCUGACAUAAGUAACGAUAAAGCGGGUGAAAAGCCCGCUCGCCGGAAGACCAAGGGUUCCUGUCCAACGUUAAUCGGGGCAGGGUGAGUCGACCCCUAAGGCGAGGCCGAAAGGCGUAGUCGAUGGGAAACAGGUUAAUAUUCCUGUACUUGGUGUUACUGCGAAGGGGGGACGGAGAAGGCUAUGUUGGCCGGGCGACGGUUGUCCCGGUUUAAGCGUGUAGGCUGGUUUUCCAGGCAAAUCCGGAAAAUCAAGGCUGAGGCGUGAUGACGAGGCACUACGGUGCUGAAGCGACAAAUGCCCUGCUUCCAGGAAAAGCCUCUAAGCAUCAGGUAACAUCAAAUCGUACCCCAAACCGACACAGGUGGUCAGGUAGAGAAUACCAAGGCGCUUGAGAGAACUCGGGUGAAGGAACUAGGCAAAAUGGUGCCGUAACUUCGGGAGAAGGCACGCUGAUAUGUAGGUGAAGCGACUUGCUCGUGGAGCUGAAAUCAGUCGAAGAUACCAGCUGGCUGCAACUGUUUAUUAAAAACACAGCACUGUGCAAACACGAAAGUGGACGUAUACGGUGUGACGCCUGCCCGGUGCCGGAAGGUUAAUUGAUGGGGUUAGCGGUAACGCGAAGCUCUUGAUCGAAGCCCCGGUAAACGGCGGCCGUAACUAUAACGGUCCUAAGGUAGCGAAAUUCCUUGUCGGGUAAGUUCCGACCUGCACGAAUGGCGUAAUGAUGGCCAGGCUGUCUCCACCCGAGACUCAGUGAAAUUGAACUCGCUGUGAAGAUGCAGUGUACCCGCGGCAAGACGGAAAGACCCCGUGAACCUUUACUAUAGCUUGACACUGAACAUUGAGCCUUGAUGUGUAGGAUAGGUGGGAGGCUUUGAAGUGUGGACGCCAGUCUGCAUGGAGCCGACCUUGAAAUACCACCCUUUAAUGUUUGAUGUUCUAACGUGGGCCCCUUACCGGGGUUGCGGACAGUGUCUGGUGGGUAGUUUGACUGGGGCGGUCUCCUCCUAAAGAGUAACGGAGGAGCACGAAGGUUGGCUAAUCCUGGUCGGACAUCAGGAGGUUAGUGCAAUGGCAUAAGCCAGCUUGACUGCGAGCGUGACGGCGCGAGCAGGUGCGAAAGCAGGUCAUAGUGAUCCGGUGGUUCUGAAUGGAAGGGCCAUCGCUCAACGGAUAAAAGGUACUCCGGGGAUAACAGGCUGAUACCGCCCAAGAGUUCAUAUCGACGGCGGUGUUUGGCACCUCGAUGUCGGCUCAUCACAUCCUGGGGCUGAAGUAGGUCCCAAGGGUAUGGCUGUUCGCCAUUUAAAGUGGUACGCGAGCUGGGUUUAGAACGUCGUGAGACAGUUCGGUCCCUAUCUGCCGUGGGCGCUGGAGAACUGAGGGGGGCUGCUCCUAGUACGAGAGGACCGGAGUGGACGCAUCACUGGUGUUCGGGUUGUCAUGCCAAUGGCACUGCCCGGUAGCUAAAUGCGGAAGAGAUAAGUGCUGAAAGCAUCUAAGCACGAAACUUGCCCCGAGAUGAGUUCUCCCUGACUCCUUGAGAGUCCUGAAGGAACGUUGAAGACGACGACGUUGAUAGGCCGGGUGUGUAAGCGCAGCGAUGCGUUGAGCUAACCGGUACUAAUGAACCGUGAGGCUUAACCUUACAACGCCG
rnacentral:rRNA from 1 species